GUUGUAUUAUUUAGCUGAAACGAGACAUCACAGAUCGCNGCGUAUGUCNGCGAUGNACAGANUUGCCGAANAGCAAUAUGNGNGGGUGGNUCCACCCUCNAUAUCCCCCACACUGGUACUGAGACACGGAACCAGACUCCUACGGGAGGCAGCANUGAGGAAUAUNGGACAAUGGAGGCNACUCUGAUCCAGCCNUGCCGCGUGAAGGAAGACGGCCCUAUGGGUUGUAAACUGCUUUUAUACGGGAAGAACCACAUCUACNUGUAGAUGCUUGACGGUACCGUAUGAAUAAGGACCGGCUAACUCCGUGCCAGCAGCCGCGGU
rnacentral:rRNA from 1 species